rnacentral:tRNA from 1 species
UUUUAUAGCUUAUGGCGAACGUAGCUCAGUUGGUUAGAGCGUCGGAUUGUGGUUCCGAAGGUCGCGGGUUCAAACCCCGUCGUUCGCC